UACCCAGAAGUAGCACAGUGUUGGAA
rnacentral:piRNA from 1 species